UGCGCCUCGCCGAGUGCCACCGCGCCUGCUGCGCGCGCCGCGCGUUGCCGAGCCGCCGUCGCGCUGUGCUGCUGCGUUGCUGCCGCGCGCCGCCGUGGUCUCCCGAUCUCCCUGUGUACUGACCGAGUGACAGAGAAGAAGCAAGCAAAACCAGCACAGGAAGAAGAAGCCAGUAAGAAAAGGAAGAAAGAGAAAGAAAAAAAAAGAAAAAGAAGAAAAGGGAAAAAAAUUUGGAAAUUUCGGAUUUUCGUCGGAUUCGUCGUCAAUCCUUCGCAGGUGGUGCAACCUCACGUCACGACUAGUGCCCGGCUUCAUCGUCGGUUCCUUUUGAGGUGUCAAUCGCUUGCGGGAUGGGUAGCUACACGUCGCCUGCACGUUUACCUUCUCUCUUGGGCUAAACUUGAUGCUCUGUUAGAUUUUGUCUUUUGCCCUGUAAUGUAUAUAAUGAGUUUGAUGGUGGUUCAGUUGUUUGGUCGAGGCUUGUACCUCGUUGCUAGGAUCUUUGUUUUGCUAGUGUGAUAUUCUAUA